UACAGAGGUGGCAAGCGUUGUUCGGAAUUACUGGGCGUAAAGGGCGCGUAGGCGGCCUUCUAAGUCAGACGUGAAAUCCCCCGGCUUAACCUGGGAACUGCGUCUGAUACUGGGAGGCUAGAGUGCGGGAGAGGGAUGCGGAAUUCCAGGUGUAGCGGUGAAAUGCGUAGAUAUCAGGAGGAACACCGGUGGCGAAGGCGCCACUCUGGGCCGGUACUGACGCUGAGGAGCGAAAGCGUGGGGAGCGAACAGG
rnacentral:rRNA from 1 species